UACAGAGGGGGCAAGCGUUGUUCGGAAUUACUGGGCGUAAAGGGCGCGUAGGCGGCCUGUUAAGUCGAACGUGAAAUCCCCGGGCUCAACCCGGGAACUGCGUCCGAUACUGGCAGGCUUGAAUCCGGGAGAGGGAUGCGGAAUUCCAGGUGUAGCGGUGAAAUGCGUAGAUAUCUGGAGGAACACCGGUGGCGAAGGCGGCCGGCUGGGCCGGAUCCGACGCUGAGGCGCGAAAGCGUGGGGAGCAAACAGG
rnacentral:rRNA from 1 species